CUGUUUGGAACCUGGGAUUCAAAUGGCCUGGCAGGAAGUGCUCUAGCAGAGGGACUCUGGCCUUGCAAGAGUCCCUAUUUCCCCCUUUUUUUUUGCUUUUCACACAGUAAAACCCUGCUUUACUUCCCUUUGAGUCGUCUGUGAGCCUAAAUUUUUGUGGCUGUGGGAAGGACAAGAACCCCAUCUUUAGCUGAAAUAAGGAAAAGUUCCGCAACAUUUUUGGCACACACCCUGGGGGCUCCGGAAGUGAAAGUUCCCAGGAGAUGAAGACAUUGAAACUGCCAUCAUAAAAUUAAUAAAAGGUUCAAGAUUAGAAUUAUGGUAUUGGCCUGGAUUUUGUUAAGACAGAGACAUAGGAUUAUGUUGGCUCGGAGAAUGAUACCUCAAAGGCUGGUGCUGAGAGUUCUUAGAAGCUGCUUCAGAAUCAAGGAUCUCUCCAGAGAUCAACCACUGGAGAAAAGAUACUAGGAGUCAUCACCACAUCUAGACAGAGUGCUGCUCCAAGAGAUUAACUGAGGGAUUUCAUCUGCAUAAUAAGUCAACCUUUUUUCCGGGCGCAAUGGCUCACGCCUGUAAUCCUAGCACUUUCGGAGGCCCAGUUGAUUUUCAGCACAUCUUCAGAGGACAAAGAAGCAGCUCUUUUCACUCCUACAAUGGGAAUGAUAAUCUCCACCUUAUUUAGUUUUAAAAGAAUUAAAUGAGAUAAUGCAGCUAAAGCAGUUCAGAAUAAAACCUGACAUGUAGUAA
rnacentral:lncRNA from 10 species